CCACCUGCAUGUUCCUUGCCCACUGGCAAGGCCCGUACACUGUCUUCGAGUGCAAGGGCCCAGUGCCCAACUACUGUUGGCAACAGUCAGGUAAGCAACCAAGCACCCAAAUGUAUCAUGUUAAAUUGCUGAGACAGUGGAUUGAGCCUGCCCCCUGCCUUCUCAGCAUUUGUGGAUGUCCCCACAGAACCCCCAGGGUGAAGCUUGGUCCCAAAGUGAGAAGCCCUAACCCCUUCACAGCGGCAAGAAAUAAAAGCUAAAUAAAUAAAUAAAGAAAGAAAUAAAAGCUUUUAAUAAAGAAGCAACAUACCAUAAUUUGGGCAAGUUGAUUUCUUCUCCUCGUAAUUUACGCUGCAGUCCAGAUGUAUUUGCCGGUGGUCUCCACUCUCUCGAAUUGUGAAACAGGGGUCAUCUCUUGGAUCGAAUAUGUACCACAAAUCUGGAUCUGUGUAGCACUCAAUCUCUGAACACUGUCCAUAUUUCACUUUCAAGUAGAUGGUUUGGACCCAUUUGCUUAAAAGUGUCUGGCAUUGCUGUGUUUUUCUGUCAGGUUCAACAUCAAACUGCAUAUAUACAGAGACACAUUCAGUCAUGUGUAGCGCAACAAGUACUAGUGAAAUAUAAAAAUUAUAAUAAUUCAAUAUAAAUAAAUAAAAAUAUGUUUUGAAAUGUGGUUUAACUGUAUCCCUAUAAUUGCAUAAGUGUAUUUGCUGAAACUUCAAUGUCAUGACAGAGCCUCCAAUUCCAUUCGAUAAAAGGAAAAUACAAAAUAAUCAAUAUCAGGGUGCGUGCAUGUACUAUUACAGCACAGCACUGUUGAAUUCUGGAUUGUGAUUAGUCAGAAGGUAUUGAUUAAUUUUCUAUGACAGCAGCUCUGACAGCUGUGCAGCUAUAAAUCCCAAGUUUAAUUUAAUGCGCUCAUGUUAAUACGUUAUCGUUUCUAUAGUAACAGCUAAUUUACAGGGACUUGUACAGCAGAUGAGCUACCUAAACGGAUAAAAAAAAUAAUUUUCUGUAAUUUAACAUUUAUGGAAGGAGUCUCCAGUGUCAGAGCUUUGUAACAGUCAGAGGUAAAGCGGUAACUUUAAGUUUUCCGACGUCUUCAGGACAGAGGAGUUCACGCUUCUUUGCGGUUUCUCUGUAACACAACAUGCUGCAUUGUUUUGUCUUAUUAAUCAGUCACAUGCUGUUAAGAACACAUUGUGUAUUUUAUAGAAGUAUAUUGUAUAUACAAAUAGGUGGAGCAUAUGUUGGGAAAACAUCUUAAAGAAUUGCUGUAAUGAUUGUGUAUACGUUACUGUAUUGUAUCUGUCAGAAAAUGGCCAUGGCAUCUUGGUCUCGAUACAGACAGUCCAUUUGUAGUGUGUGUGAUUGUUAACAGUUAUUUCUCCUCCAAGGAUCCCCAUUCUGAAAUGGAAAAUUACAGGUGUUGAUCUGUCAACAAUUUUACAAUGUUCAUACAAUAAUUUCUAAAAAGGUGUUAUGAAUCACAAUGUGAUAAAAUCAUUACAAUUAGUGUGGAAAAGAUUACAUACAUACACACAGUAUCUCACAAAAGUGAGUACACCUCUCACAUUCUUGUAAAGAAUGUGAAGAAUUUUUCCACUCGUCAUGGAGGAGUGGAAGAGGACUCCAGUGGAACCUGUGAAGCUCUGGUGAACUCCAUGCCCAAGAGGGUUAAGGCAGCGCUGGAAAAUAAUGGUGGUCACACAAAAUAUUGACACUUUGGGCCCAGUUUGGACAUUUUCACUUAGGGAUGUACUCACUUUUGUUAGAUACUGUGUGUGUACAUAUAUAUAUAUA
ensembl:lncRNA